rnacentral:rRNA from 1 species
GAGUUUGAUCCUGGCUCAGGAUGAACGCUAGCGGCAGGCUUAACACAUGCAAGUCGAGGGGUAACAGGAAUAGCUUGCUAUUUGCUGACGACCGGCGCACGGGUGAGUAACGCGUAUGCAACCUACCUUUUACAGGGGGAUAGCCCGAAGAAAUUCGGAUUAAUACCCCAUAACGAUGUUUCUACCUAGUUUUACAUUUAAAGUUUCGGCGGUAAGAGAUGGGCAUGCGUUUUAUUAGUUAGUUGGUAAGGUAACGGCUUACCAAGACUACGAUAAAUAGGGGUCCUGAGAGGGAGAUCCCCCACACUGGUACUGAGACACGGACCAGACUCCUACGGGAGGCAGCAGUGAGGAAUAUUGGACAAUGGGCGCAAGCCUGAUCCAGCCAUGCCGCGUGUGUGAAGAAGGCUUUCGGGUUGUAAAGCACUUUCAGUAGGGAGGAAAAGGGUACAGUUAAUACCUGUAUGUAUUGACGUUACCUACAGAAGAAGCACCGGCUAACUCCGUGCCAGCAGCCGCGGUAAUACGGAGGGUGCAAGCGUUAAUCGGAAUUACUGGGCGUAAAGCGCGCGUAGGUGGUUUGAUAAGUUGGAUGUGAAAGCCCCGGGCUCAACCUGGGAACUGCAUUCAAAACUGUCUCACUAGAGUACGAUAGAGGGGGGUAGAAUUUCAGGUGUAGCGGUGAAAUGCGUAGAGAUCUGAAGGAAUACCAGUGGCGAAGGCGACUUACUGGACCAAUACUGACACUGAGGUGCGAAAGCGUGGGGAGCAAACGGGAUUAGAUACCCCGGUAGUCCACGCCGUAAACGAUGUCUACUAGCCGUUGGGAGACUUGAUCUCUUAGUGGCGCAGCUAACGCAAUAAGUAGACCGCCUGGGGAGUACGGCCGCAAGGUUAAAACUCAAAUGAAUUGACGGGGGCCCGCACAAGCGGUGGAGCAUGUGGUUUAAUUCGAUGCAACGCGAAGAACCUUACCUGGUCUUGACAUCCUACAACUUACUAGAGAUAGUUUGGUGCCUUCGGGAACGUAGUGACAGGUGCUGCAUGGCUGUCGUCAGCUCGUGUUGUGAAAUGUUGGGUUAAGUCCCGUAACGAGCGCAACCCUUAUCCUUAUUUGCCAGCACGUAAUGGUGGAACUCUAGGGAGACUGCCGGUGAUAAACCGGAGGAAGGUGGGGACGACGUCAAGUCAUCAUGGCCCUUACGACCAGGGCUACACACGUGCUACAAUGGAGCGUACAAAGGGUUGCGACCUCGCGAGAGUGAGCUAAUCCCAUAAAACGUUUCGUAGUCCGGAUCGCAGUCUGUAAUUCGACUGCGUGAAGUCGGAAUCGCUAGUAAUCGUAGAUUAGAAUGCUACGGUGAAUACGUUCCCGGGCCUUGUACACACCGCCCGUCACACCAUGGGAGUGGGUUGCAAAAGAAGUGGGUAGCAUAACCUUCGGGAGUGCGCUCACCACUUUGUGAUUCAUGACUGGGGUGAAGUCGUAACAAGGUAGCC